AAAUUGAAGAGUUUGAUCAUGGCUCAGAUUGAACGCUGGCGGCAGGCCUAACACAUGCAAGUCGAACGGUAGCACAGAGAGCUUGCUCUCGGGUGACGAGUGGCGGACGGGUGAGUAAUGUCUGGGAAACUGCCUGAUGGAGGGGGAUAACUACUGGAAACGGUAGCUAAUACCGCAUAACGUCGCAAGACCAAAGAGGGGGACCUUCGGGCCUCUUGCCAUCAGAUGUGCCCAGAUGGGAUUAGCUAGUAGGUGGGGUAAUGGCUCACCUAGGCGACGAUCCCUAGCUGGUCUGAGAGGAUGACCAGCCACACUGGAACUGAGACACGGUCCAGACUCCUACGGGAGGCAGCAGUGGGGAAUAUUGCACAAUGGGCGCAAGCCUGAUGCAGCCAUGCCGCGUGUAUGAAGAAGGCCUUCGGGUUGUAAAGUACUUUCAGCGAGGAGGAAGGCGGUGAGGUUAAUAACCUCAUCGAUUGACGUUACUCGCAGAAGAAGCACCGGCUAACUCCGUGCCAGCAGCCGCGGUAAUACGGAGGGUGCAAGCGUUAAUCGGAAUUACUGGGCGUAAAGCGCACGCAGGCGGUCUGUCAAGUCGGAUGUGAAAUCCCCGGGCUCAACCUGGGAACUGCAUUCGAAACUGGCAGGCUAGAGUCUUGUAGAGGGGGGUAGAAUUCCAGGUGUAGCGGUGAAAUGCGUAGAGAUCUGGAGGAAUACCGGUGGCGAAGGCGGCCCCCUGGACAAAGACUGACGCUCAGGUGCGAAAGCGUGGGGAGCAAACAGGAUUAGAUACCCUGGUAGUCCACGCCGUAAACGAUGUCGACUUGGAGGUUGUUCCCUUGAGGAGUGGCUUCCGGAGCUAACGCGUUAAGUCGACCGCCUGGGGAGUACGGCCGCAAGGUUAAAACUCAAAUGAAUUGACGGGGGCCCGCACAAGCGGUGGAGCAUGUGGUUUAAUUCGAUGCAACGCGAAGAACCUUACCUACUCUUGACAUCCAGAGAACUUUCCAGAGAUGGAUUGGUGCCUUCGGGAACUCUGAGACAGGUGCUGCAUGGCUGUCGUCAGCUCGUGUUGUGAAAUGUUGGGUUAAGUCCCGCAACGAGCGCAACCCUUAUCCUUUGUUGCCAGCGGUCCGGCCGGGAACUCAAAGGAGACUGCCAGUGAUAAACUGGAGGAAGGUGGGGAUGACGUCAAGUCAUCAUGGCCCUUACGAGUAGGGCUACACACGUGCUACAAUGGCGCAUACAAAGAGAAGCGACCUCGCGAGAGCAAGCGGACCUCAUAAAGUGCGUCGUAGUCCGGAUUGGAGUCUGCAACUCGACUCCAUGAAGUCGGAAUCGCUAGUAAUCGUAGAUCAGAAUGCUACGGUGAAUACGUUCCCGGGCCUUGUACACACCGCCCGUCACACCAUGGGAGUGGGUUGCAAAAGAAGUAGGUAGCUUAACCUUCGGGAGGGCGCUUACCACUUUGUGAUUCAUGACUGGGGUGAAGUCGUAACAAGGUAACCGUAGGGGAACCUGCGGUUGGAUCACCUCCUUACCUUAAAGAA
rnacentral:rRNA from 1 species